AAGUCGUAACAAGGUCUCCGUAGGUGAACCUGCGGAGGGAUCAUUACUGAGUGAGGGCCUUCGGGCUCGACCUCCAACCCUUUGUGAACACAACUUGUUGCUUCGGGGGCGACCCUGCCGUUUCGACGGCGAGCGCCCCCGGAGGCCUUCAAACACUGCAUCUUUGCGUCGGAGUUUAAGUAAAUUAAACAAAACUUUCAACAACGGAUCUCUUGGUUCUG
rnacentral:misc_RNA from 2 species